GAAACCCUCUGUAUUUCUAGGAUUCUUCACCUGUAGCAGUGAAACUAUAAUGUCCUUAAGGACUGGACACGGGCUGUUAUUAGCUUUGUUCUGCGCAAUUGAAUGCCUUCCUGGAUGUUUUCCUGUGUGAUGCCAGACUCCUCUCCAUUUUUCUGCAAUAAUGCUGCUUGGGCCUACUAUUAGUAUAGUCGACUGUCAACACACCUUUUGUUAAACGGGGCCAAAGAGGACAUAUUUCACGUUGUGUUAAUGUUUGUCCACCAGUUGCUAUAUUCAAUGUCACACACCUGCUAUAUCUAUGCUGUGUUUCAAGCACCACCUGGUUUUGUGUUACGAUGAAGAAGUGCUGACAUUAUUUAUAAGCCUUGCCAAGUUCGACUUUUCGCAAGUUAAGCUAGCUUGGAAUGUUGUAGCCAUUGUUUCUUGGCAUAUCGUUACGUUUACCAUGUGAUCCUACGUUAAAAAAAUACUUUUGAGGCUACUAAAAGUAUCUUGAUACCAUUCGUUUUAAUGUGGAGAACAGAGGUGCUCUCUAGUUCAUCAUAGAAUGUUCUGCGCAGAAGCCUGUGGCAUCUAUUUUAUUAUGACACUGUGCUUCCUUUCUGUUUUGUUGCCAUUCCUUUAUGUGCAUACUUUCUAAUUCAUAGUUGCAAUUGUGCUCCAUUUUUCUGCUUGAAGAGAAGUGCACAUGCCCACAUACCUUUAGCUAAGUUGGCAAGAAGUGUCAGUGUGAUAAAUUAUUGCAAAAGCUAACAUAACGAGUAAUGUAUCAAAUCGGGGGUGGAUAUAGAGAAUUACCGCCGAGUGCUAUCUUCUUGACGUUUCAGAAUACCUCUCGGUUGCAGAACCUCUGGUAAUACAGCAAAUGCUAUGCCAUAGACAAGGUUUCUCAUUUUGCUUCAGUUAAUUGGCUGUAUCAUUUCAAUAGCCAUCAAAUAUUGACUUCAGGAACGGUACAAAUUUUCAGUGUAGAAGUUGUGAAUUAAAAAUUGGCACAAACAACAUUGGGGAGUGAGUCACCGGUUUUCAUCACUCGUUUGUGGCAUGGUAAUGUCUUUUGGUGGUGGUCUUCUCAGAAGCUGUAACAAGCUAUUCCCAGCAGAUGGAAAUGCCAUUUUUUAUUGCUUAACACACUAGUGAACCAGGCAGGGAAAUAUGCAAAGAAAAAAACGCAAGGCUUGUUUUCUCAGUUAUGCCGCGCUCUUUGACUGAUUGGUUGAACCAUUAAUAGAUGCA
rnacentral:lncRNA from 1 species